UACGUAGGUGGCGAGCGUUGUCCGGAUUUACUGGGCGUAAAGGGAGCGUAGGCGGACUUUUAAGUGAGAUGUGAAAUACUCGGGCUCAACUUGAGUGCUGCAUUUCAAACUGGAAGUCUAGAGUGCAGGAGAGGAGAAUGGAAUUCCUAGUGUAGCGGUGAAAUGCGUAGAGAUUAGGAAGAACACCAGUGGCAAAGGCGAUUCUCUGGACUGUAACUGACGCUGAGGCUCGAAAGCGUGGGGAGCAAACAGG
rnacentral:rRNA from 1 species